AUCCAGCAGACGAGUCCCAAAUAGGAUGAAACGCACGUCCUGGAU
rnacentral:hammerhead_ribozyme from 1 species